rnacentral:misc_RNA from 1 species
AGCGACUGAGACACGUUAAGUUAUGCCAGCACAAGAGUGACACUGUGAAACGAUGACGACAGCGCGAAGGUGAAACUGUGAACUGCGAGAGCAGAAUGCCAGCACCUUGAGAGCAUGGGCCAGAGUCAAUCAGUAAGAGCCAGAGCCAUGACGAUAAGCCAGUGAGUGCCAAUGAGCCAAUAAGAGCUAGGUGUUAUGCCAAUGAGAGCCGGAGCUGAAUCGGGCCAGAGCCAAUAAGAGCAGAGAGAUCCAGAGCCAACGAGCCAGAUCUAAAGAGUCAGAUCUCCACAGAGGAGCCAUACUAAAGGCAGUCGGAAGUUGAUCUUCUUGAUUCAAGAUUCGCAUUCAGAAAGGAUGUAGGCAGUCGAAUCUCGACACGAGGAUGUAGACGAGACCGAACCUUUUAGUCUAUAGAAAAGAGGAUGUAAGCAGUGAGCUGAACCUCUGGGGUUAAUAUAUUAUGGACCAUGAAGUCCCACCCAAAUCAUCA